rnacentral:rRNA from 1 species
UACGUAGGGGGCAAGCGUUGUCCGGAUUUAUUGGGCGUAAAGAGCGUGUAGGCGGUUCGGUAGGUCCGUUGUGAAAACUCGAGGCUCAACCUCGAGACGCCGAUGGAAACCCCCGAACUAGAGUCCGGAAGAGGAGAGUGGAAUUCCUGGUGUAGCGGUGAAAUGCGCAGAUAUCAGGAGGAACACCGGUGGCGAAGGCGGAUCUCUGGGCCAUUACUGACGCUGAGGAGCGAAAGCGUGGGGAGCGAACAGG